UUAAGCGACUAAGCGUACACGGUGGAUGCCCUGGCAGUCAGAGGCGAUGAAGGACGUGCUAAUCUGCGAUAAGCGUCGGUAAGGUGAUAUGAACCGUUAUAACCGGCGAUUUCCGAAUGGGGAAACCCAGUGUGAUUCGUCACACUAUCAUUAACUGAAUCCAUAGGUUAAUGAGGCGAACCGGGGGAACUGAAACAUCUAAGUACCCCGAGGAAAAGAAAUCAACCGAGAUUCCCCCAGUAGCGGCGAGCGAACGGGGAGCAGCCCAGAGCCUGAAUCAGUGUGUGUGUUAGUGGAAGCGUCUGGAAAGGCGCGCGAUACAGGGUGACAGCCCCGUACACAAAAAUGCACAUGCUGUGAGCUCGAUGAGUAGGGCGGGACACGUGGUAUCCUGUCUGAAUAUGGGGGGACCAUCCUCCAAGGCUAAAUACUCCUGACUGACCGAUAGUGAACCAGUACCGUGAGGGAAAGGCGAAAAGAACCCCGGCGAGGGGAGUGAAAAAGAACCUGAAACCGUGUACGUACAAGCAGUGGGAGCACAGAGCAAUCUGUGUGACUGCGUACCUUUUGUAUAAUGGGUCAGCGACUUAUAUUCUGUAGCAAGGUUAACCGAAUAGGGGAGCCGAAGGGAAACCGAGUCUUAACUGGGCGUUAAGUUGCAGGGUAUAGACCCGAAACCCGGUGAUCUAGCCAUGGGCAGGUUGAAGGUUGGGUAACACUAACUGGAGGACCGAACCGACUAAUGUUGAAAAAUUAGCGGAUGACUUGUGGCUGGGGGUGAAAGGCCAAUCAAACCGGGAGAUAGCUGGUUCUCCCCGAAAGCUAUUUAGGUAGCGCCUCGUGAAUUCAUCUCCGGGGGUAGAGCACUGUUUCGGCAAGGGGGUCAUCCCGACUUACCAACCCGAUGCAAACUGCGAAUACCGGAGAAUGUUAUCACGGGAGACACACGGCGGGUGCUAACGUCCGUCGUGAAGAGGGAAACAACCCAGACCGCCAGCUAAGGUCCCAAAGUCAUGGUUAAGUGGGAAACGAUGUGGGAAGGCCCAGACAGCCAGGAUGUUGGCUUAGAAGCAGCCAUCAUUUAAAGAAAGCGUAAUAGCUCACUGGUCGAGUCGGCCUGCGCGGAAGAUGUAACGGGGCUAAACCAUGCACCGAAGCUGCGGCAGCGACGCUGAUGCGUUGUUGGGUAGGGGAGCGUUCUGUAAGCCUGCGAAGGUGUGCUGUGAGGCAUGCUGGAGGUAUCAGAAGUGCGAAUGCUGACAUAAGUAACGAUAAAGCGGGUGAAAAGCCCGCUCGCCGGAAGACCAAGGGUUCCUGUCCAACGUUAAUCGGGGCAGGGUGAGUCGACCCCUAAGGCGAGGCCGAAAGGCGUAGUCGAUGGGAAACAGGUUAAUAUUCCUGUACUUGGUGUUACUGCGAAGGGGGGACGGAGAAGGCUAUGUUGGCCGGGCGACGGUUGUCCCGGUUUAAGCGUGUAGGCUGGUUUUCCAGGAAAAUCCGGAAAAUCAAGGCUGAGGCGUGAUGACGAGGCACUACGGUGCUGAAGCAACAAAUGCCCUGCUUCCAGGAAAAGCCUCUAAGCAUCAGGUAACAUCAAAUCGUACCCCAAACCGACACAGGUGGUCAGGUAGAGAAUACCAAGGCGCUUGAGAGAACUCGGGUGAAGGAACUAGGCAAAAUGGUGCCGUAACUUCGGGAGAAGGCACGCUGAUAUGUAGGUGAAGUCCCUCGCGGAUGGAGCUGAAAUCAGUCGAAGAUACCAGCUGGCUGCAACUGUUUAUUAAAAACACAGCACUGUGCAAACACGAAAGUGGACGUAUACGGUGUGACGCCUGCCCGGUGCCGGAAGGUUAAUUGAUGGGGUUAGCGCAAGCGAAGCUCUUGAUCGAAGCCCCGGUAAACGGCGGCCGUAACUAUAACGGUCCUAAGGUAGCGAAAUUCCUUGUCGGGUAAGUUCCGACCUGCACGAAUGGCGUAAUGAUGGCCAGGCUGUCUCCACCCGAGACUCAGUGAAAUUGAACUCGCUGUGAAGAUGCAGUGUACCCGCGGCAAGACGGAAAGACCCCGUGAACCUUUACUAUAGCUUGACACUGAACAUUGAGCCUUGAUGUGUAGGAUAGGUGGGAGGCUUUGAAGUGUGGACGCCAGUCUGCAUGGAGCCGACCUUGAAAUACCACCCUUUAAUGUUUGAUGUUCUAACGUUGACCCGUAAUCCGGGUUGCGGACAGUGUCUGGUGGGUAGUUUGACUGGGGCGGUCUCCUCCUAAAGAGUAACGGAGGAGCACGAAGGUUGGCUAAUCCUGGUCGGACAUCAGGAGGUUAGUGCAAUGGCAUAAGCCAGCUUGACUGCGAGCGUGACGGCGCGAGCAGGUGCGAAAGCAGGUCAUAGUGAUCCGGUGGUUCUGAAUGGAAGGGCCAUCGCUCAACGGAUAAAAGGUACUCCGGGGAUAACAGGCUGAUACCGCCCAAGAGUUCAUAUCGACGGCGGUGUUUGGCACCUCGAUGUCGGCUCAUCACAUCCUGGGGCUGAAGUAGGUCCCAAGGGUAUGGCUGUUCGCCAUUUAAAGUGGUACGCGAGCUGGGUUUAGAACGUCGUGAGACAGUUCGGUCCCUAUCUGCCGUGGGCGCUGGAGAAUUGAGGGGGGCUGCUCCUAGUACGAGAGGACCGGAGUGGACGCAUCACUGGUGUUCGGGUUGUCAUGCCAAUGGCACUGCCCGGUAGCUAAAUGCGGAAGAGAUAAGUGCUGAAAGCAUCUAAGCACGAAACUUGCCCCGAGAUGAGUUCUCCCUGACUCCUUGAGAGUCCUGAAGGAACGUUGAAGACGACGACGUUGAUAGGCCGGGUGUGUAAGCGCAGCGAUGCGUUGAGCUAACCGGUACUAAUGAACCGUGAGGCUUAACCUU
rnacentral:rRNA from 1 species